rnacentral:rRNA from 1 species
AGUGAACGCUGGCGGUAGGCCUAACACAUGCAAGUCGAACGGCAGCACAGUAAGAGCUUGCUCUGACGGGUGGCGAGUGGCGGACGGGAGAGGAAUACAUCGGAAUCUACUUUUUCGUGUGGGUUAACGUAGGGAAACUUACGCUAAUACCGCAUACGACCUACGGGUGAAAGCGGUGGAUCUUCGGACCUUGCGCGAUUGAAUGCGCCGAUGUGGGAUUAGCUAGUUGGCGGGGUAAAGGCCCACCAAGGCGACGAUCCGUAGCUGGUGUGAGAGGAUGAUAAGCGACACGGGAGCUGAGACACGGACAAGACUCCUACGGGAGGCAGCAGUGGGGAAUAGUGGACAGUAGGCGCAAGCCUGAUCCAGCCAGAGCGCGUGGGUGGCGACAGCGUUCCGGUUGUAAAGACGUCCUGUUGGGAGAGAAAAGCAGCAGGUUAAGACGACGCUGUUCUGACGGUACCCAAAGAAUAAGCACCGGCUAACUUCGUG